rnacentral:rRNA from 1 species
AGAGUUUGAUCCUGGCUCAGGAUGAACGCUGGCGGUCUGCUUAACACAUGCAAGUCGAACGGAACUUUUCGGAGUUCAGUGGCGGACGGGUGAGUAACGCGUGAGAAUCUGCCUUCUGGUCGGGGACAACCACUGGAAACGGUGGCUAAUACCGGAUGAGCCUACGGGUAAAAGAUUUAUUGCCAGAAGAGGAGCUCGCGUCUGAUUAGCUAGUUGGUGAGGUAAAGGCUCACCAAGGCAUCGAUCAGUAGCUGGUCUGAGAGGAUGACCAGCCACACUGGGACUGAGACACGGCCCAGACUCCUACGGGAGGCAGCAGUGGGGAAUUUUCCGCAAUGGGCGAAAGCCUGACGGAGCAAGACCGCGUGAGGGAGGAAGGCUCUUGGGUUGUAAACCUCUUUUCUUGGGGAAGAAAAAAGUGACGGUACCCAAGGAAUCAGCAUCGGCUAACUCCGUGCCAGCAGCCGCGGUAAUACGGAGGAUGCAAGCGUUAUCCGGAAUUAUUGGGCGUAAAGCGUCCGCAGGUGGCACUUCAAGUCUGCUGUCAAAGGUCGGGGCUUAACCCCGGGAAGGCAGUGGAAACUGAAGCGCUAGAGUGUCGUAGGGGUAGAGGGAAUUCCCGGUGUAGCGGUGAAAUGCGUAGAGAUCGGGAAGAACAUCGGUGGCGAAAGCGCUCUACUGGACGACAACUGACACUCAGGGACGAAAGCUAGGGGAGCGAAUGGGAUUAGAUACCCUAGUAGUCC